rnacentral:rRNA from 1 species
UGUGUAGGCGGUUCUUUAAGUUUGUCGUGAAAUCUCCCGGCUUAACCGGGAGGGUGCGGCGAAUACUGAGGGACUAGAGUACGGGAGAGGAAAGUGGAAUUCCUGGUGUAGCGGUGAAAUGCGUAGAUAUCAGGAGGAACACCGGUGGUGUAGACGGCUUUCUGGACCGUAACUGACGCUGAGACACGAAAGCGUGGGUAGCAAACA